UCGUAGUUGGAUCUGCGCCUCAGGACCUGGUCCGUCUUAUGGAUGAGAACUGGGCUCCUAGGCUAAUACUGCUGGUUUUUUUACGUUACCUUCAUCGGUCGCGUAAGGUGGCCAGCGAGUUUACCUUGAAAAAAUUAGAGUGCUCAAAGCGGGCUAAUGCCUGCAUAUUCGUGCAUGGAAUAAUGAAAUAGGAUCUCGGUUCUAUUUUGUUGGUUUCUGAUCUGAGAUAAUGGUUAAGAGGGACAAGACGGGGGCAUUCGUAUCGCUGCGUGAGAGGUGAAAUUCUUGGACCCGUAGCGAGACGCCCGACUGCGAAAGCA
rnacentral:rRNA from 1 species